UUUCAGUUUCCUCAUCUGUAAAAUUGGGUGGGGUCCCUCCUCACAAGUGGCUAGAACACAGUAAGUGCUAUACAAGUUUGUGAAAUAAAACUGAGCUUACAGUUAAUCAGUAGAACCACAGCAAAUUAUAUAUUAGGAAAACUCUAUAAAGAAAUUAGGAAGGCUUCUCUGAGGAGGUGACAUUGGAUUUAAGAUCGCAUAAUCAAAAGGAACAUUCCCGGGAAAGGUAACUGCUUGAGCAAAGGCCCUCGGUGGGAAUAGGCAUUCAUGUACUCAGCAGCAGACCAGAGAGGCUGAGAUGAAGAGUGGUAUGAGUGGCCAGGCUGGGUCACACAGAGCUUGCCACAAGCUGGGAAUAUACUCUCGGGGCAGGGGCAGCCCAUGGUGGUCACGGACGCAAGAACUCUCAUGCAAAAGCAGAAUGCUGGAGAGAGAAAUUCAGGUGUUCUAUCAGUUUGAAAGAAUUUGAGGCUAUGGCCUCAAGCAAUAAAUCUGGUAUGGAGAGGAGAAUGGAGAGGUAGAAGGCAACUCCACAGGAUCUGGUGACACAGACUGAGUGGGAAGUGAGUCAGAGGGAGGGGUUACUGCUGUGCUUCUACCUCUGUUGUAUUUGCUCUGCCACUCCCACCUGAAGUGGGGAAUCCAGGAGAAGCAGGGGCAGGGCCAAGAGGAUGGGGUGAGACUGGAGCUCAACCAGGGCUGGAAUGGAGACGACUCUGCACCCAGACCAUGGGCGGAAGAAGAUGGCCCACAAAGUGGAGGAGACCAGAACUGAAGGGAUAGGUCUAGGAGGACUGUGUCUGGCUCUUUGAAGUUGCUCGGUUAUUGCUUCAAGAGAGAAUCACUGUAGAAGUAUCCAGCAAAGGAAGAGGAGCCCAUGAAAACAGCUGAGAAGGAAAGACCAGAGAGGGAGAACCCAAAGAAGGAAAGUGGCAUGGAAGAGAAUGUCAAGCAGGAGGGAGGGAUAAAGGGGAAAGAUGCAGCUGGAAGCUGGCCCCUGGAUGGGGAACCAUUAUGACAUCACCUUUGACAAUAGUGUUUGUGCAGAUGGGGGUGGAGUCAGAAUAUGAUGAGCCCAGCACAAAUGGGAAGAAAAGGUGGCAAGGGUAUACUCUUCCCUCUUGUGACUUGGCUGUGAAGACAAGAGAAAAGGAAGACAGGAUUGGGGAGGCAAAGAGGGAGAAGUUGUGAUGGGAAGGAAACAAGCUUGUGUGUGGCCUGCAAGGGGACAGUAGAGAGAGAGCUUUGAGAUGGAACCUGGAAGUAAAGAAGGAAUAGAGAAGGAGGUUCUUUGUGUGGAACAGCCAGCCAGGAUGGCCUGGCCCUGAGAUUAGGUCUAGCUGAGACAAGACACCUUCCUCUGACCCUGGAAAGGCUGCACAGAGAUUAUUUGGAGGAUGUGGGGGCAAGAAAUUGAUGCAGGUUACACCUGGAAACCCCUGGAAUUGUCUUGGGAAUGGAGAAGGCGGUGUGUCUUCAUUUGGUCUCCUAACUUCAAGUAUCAUCUAGAGGGAAUUGACUCCUAUGGCUCCUACAACCCUGACCUUCCUGGACUGCUUGGCUGGCAGCUUCACUGUUGGCACUUCCCCUGCACGCUCUCAUGAGGAAAGAGGUCUCCUGCAUGAUCCUCCCCUCCAAACUGGCUCCCUCCUCCCUGGGCUCUCCUCUGCCCCUGGACAUGCACACCAGGCCUUCCCUGCUGCCCCCUGUGGAUUCCCAAAGUGCUGUAAACCACUCACCUGGUUUGGCAUUUACUGCAUAAUCUUUUGGGUUUUAAAAAUCUCCAUUGA